GUUGGGUCAAUCAGGUGGAUUUAAGGUUAAUCCUCCAGGGUCGAAAGGCAGCAAAGGCAGCCAUUAUUUUCCAGGUUGGUUGGCCCUUUAAA
rnacentral:SRP_RNA from 1 species